CAAGGCACGGAGGCAGGCGCGAGCACAGCUAGCAUGCGUGGUGGCGGCCUGCCGCCCAAGGUUGUGGAGUUCGUCGCCGAUCAUCCGUUCACCUUCCUCAUCAUGGAGGAACGGUCCGGUGUCAUCGUCUUCGCUGGCCACGUCCUUGAUCCCACCAAGUGA
rnacentral:rRNA from 1 species